rnacentral:rRNA from 1 species
UACGGAGGAUGCGAGCGUUAUCCGGAUUUAUUGGGCGUAAAGCGAGCGCAGGUGGUUUAUUAAGUCUGGUGUAAAAGGCAGUGGCUCAACCAUUGUAUGCAUUGGAAACUUGUAGACUUGAGUGCAGGAGAGGAGAGUGGAAUUCUAUGUGUAGCGGUGAAAUGCGUAGAUAUAUGGAGGAACACCGGUGGCGAAAGCGGCUCUCUGGCCUGUAACUGACACUGAGGCUCGAAAGCGUGGGGAGCAAACAGG